rnacentral:piRNA from 1 species
UCAACCUUCCAAUAGGAAUCUGUAUGCUUUC